rnacentral:rRNA from 1 species
GAUGAACGCUGGCGGCGUGCCUAAUACAUGCAAGUCGAGCGAACGGACGAGAAGCUUGCUUCUCUGAUGUUAGCGGCGGACGGGUGAGUAACACGUGGAUAACCUACCUAUAAGACUGGGAUAACUUCGGGAAACCGUAGCUAAUACCGGAUAAUAUUUUGAACCGCAUGGUUCAAAAGUGAAAGACGGUCUUGCUGUCACUUAUAGAUGGAUCCGCGCUGCAUUAGCUAGUUGGUAAGGUAACGGCUUACCAAGGCAACGAUGCAUAGCCGACCUGAGAGGGGGAGCGGCCCACAUGGAAAUGGCACCCGGUCCCGACCCCUACGGGAGGCAGAAGUAGGGAAUUUUCCGAAAGGGGCGAAAGCCUGAGGGAGAAACGCCGGGGGAGUGAAGAAGGUCUUCGGAUCGUAAAACUCUGUUAUUAGGGAAGAACAUAUGUGUAAGUAACUGGGCACAUCUUGACGGUACCUAAUCAGAAAGCCACGGCUAACUACGU